AUUGAACGCUAGCGGCAGGCCUUACACAUGCAAGUCGAACGAGUGGCGGACGUGUGAGUAAUAUCUGGGAACCUGCCCGAUGGCGGGGGAUAACUACUGGCAACGGUAGCUAAUACCGCAUACCAUCGGAUGUGCCCAUAUGGGAUUAGCUAGUAGGUGGGGUAACGGCUCACCUAGGCAACGAUCCCUAGCUGGUCUGAGAGGAUGACCAGCCAAACUGGAACUGAGACACGGCCCAGACUCCUACGGGAGGCAGCAGUGGGGAAUAUUGCACAAUGGGCGAAAGCCUGAUGCAGCCAUGCCGCGUGUAUGAAGAAGGCCUUCGGGUUGUAAAGUACUUUUAGCGAGGAAGCGUUACUCACAGAAUAAGCACCGGCUAACUACGUGCCAGCAGCCGCGGUAAUUC
rnacentral:rRNA from 1 species